AUUGAACGCUGGCGGCAGGCCUAACACAUGCAAGUCGAGCGAGCGGCGGACGGGUGAGUAAUGUCUGGGAAACUGCCUGAUGGAGGGGGAUAACUACUGGAAACGGUAGCUAAUACCGCAUACCAUCAGAUGUGCCCAGAUGGGAUUAGCUAGUAGGUGGGGUACGGGCCCAACGAGGCGACGAUCCCUAGCUGGUUGGAGAGGAUGACCGGCCACACUGGAACUGAGCCACGGUCCAGACUCCUACGGGAGUCAGCAGUGGGGAAUAUGGCACAAUGGGCGCAAGCCUGAUGCCGCCAUGCCGCGUGUGUGAAGAAGGCCUUCGGGUUGUAAAGCACUUUCAGCGAGGAGGCGUUACUCACAGAAGAAGCACCGGCUAACUCCGUGCCAGCAGCCGCGGUAAUAC
rnacentral:rRNA from 1 species